GUUGUUGCGAUCGUAAUCCUGCUCAGUACGAGAGGAACCGCAGGUUCAGACCUUUGGUGUAUGUGCUUGGCUGAGGAGCCAAAUGGGCGAAGCUACCAACUGUGGGAUUAUGACUGAACGCCUCCUCCGCAGAUCGGCCAUGAUGGCAGAGACACAUGCUAGUGAUAGUAGCAGU